rnacentral:misc_RNA from 1 species
GAUGAAGAACGUAGCGAAAUGCGAUAAGUAAUGUGAAUUGCAGAAUUCAGUGAAUCAUCGAAUCUUUGAACGCACAUUGCGCCCCCUGGUAUUCCGGGGGGCAUGCCUGUUCGAGCGUCAUUUCACCACUCAAGCCUCGCUUGGUAUUGGGCAACGCGGUCCGCCGCGUGCCUCAAAUCGACCGGCUGGGUCUUCUGUCCACUAAGCGUUGUGGAAACUAUUCGCUAAAGGGUGUUCGGGAGGCUACGCCGUAAAACAACCCCAUUUCUAAGGUUGACCUCGGAUCAGGUAGGGAUACCCGCUGAACUUAAGCAUAUCAAUAAGCGGAGGA